AACGAACGCUGGCGGCAGGCUUAACACAUGCAAGUCGAGCGCCCCGCAAGGGGAGCGGCAGACGGGUGAGUAACGCGUGGGAACGUGCCUUUUGGUUCGGAACAACUCCGGGAAACUGGAGCUAAUACCGGAUAAGCCCUAACGGGGAAAGAUUUAUCGCCGAAAGAUCGGCCCGCGUCUGAUUAGCUAGUUGGUGAGGUAACGGCUCACCAAGGCGACGAUCAGUAGCUGGUCUGAGAGGAUGAUCAGCCACACUGGGACUGAGACACGGCCCAGACUCCUACGGGAGGCAGCAGUGGGGAAUAUUGGACAAUGGGCGCAAGCCUGAUCCAGCCAUGCCGCGUGAGUGAUGAAGGCCUUAGGGUUGUAAAGCUCUUUUGUCCGGGAAGAUAAUGACUGUACCGGAAGAAUAAGCCCCGGCUAACUUCGUG
rnacentral:rRNA from 1 species